GAUGAACGCUGGCGGCGUGCCUAAUACAUGCAAGUCGAGCGAACAGACGAGGAGCUUGCUCCUCUGACGUUAGCGGCGGACGGGUGAGUAACACGUGGAUAACCUACCUAUAAGACUGGGAUAACUUCGGGAAACCGGAGCUAAUACCGGAUAAUAUAUUGAACCGCAUGGUUCAAUAGUGAAAGACGGUUUUGCUGUCACUUAUAGAUGGAUCCGCGCCGCAUUAGCUAGUUGGUAAGGUAACGGCUUACCAAGGCAACGAUGCGUAGCCGACCUGAGAGGGUGAUCGGCCACACUGGAACUGAGACACGGUCCAGACUCCGACGGGAGGCAGCAGUAGGGAAGCUUCCGCAAUGGGCGAAAGCUUGACGGAGCAACGCCGCGUGAGUGAUGAAGGUCUUCGGAUCGUAAAACUCUGUUAUUAGGGAAGAACAAAUGUGUAAGUAACUAUGCACGUCUUGACGGUACCUAAUCAGAAAGCCACGGCUAACUACGUG
rnacentral:rRNA from 1 species